UACAGAGGUCUCAAGCGUUGUUCGGAUUCAUUGGGCGUAAAGGGUGCGUAGGUGGCGCGCUAAGUCGGGUGUGAAAUCCCGGGGCUUAACCUCGGGACUGCAUUCGAUACUGCCGUGCUUGAGGACUGGAGAGGAGACUGGAAUUUACGGUGUAGCGGUGAAAUGCGUAGAUAUCGUAAGGAAGACCAGUGGCGAAGGCGGGUCUCUGGACAGUUCCUGACGCUGAGGCACGAAGGUCAGGGGAGCAAACGGG
rnacentral:rRNA from 1 species